rnacentral:tRNA from 1 species
AGUAUAUGGAGGCUUUAGUAUAAAAUGUAGUAUAAUUUAUUUUCAAUAAAUAGGUGUUUAAGUCUU